rnacentral:rRNA from 1 species
UACGAAGGGGGCUAGCGUUGCUCGGAAUCACUGGGCGUAAAGCGCACGUAGGCGGAUUCCUAAGUCGGGGGUGAAAUCCUGGAGCUCAACUCCAGAACUGCCUCGAUACUGGGAAUCUUGAGUCCGGAAGAGGUGAGUGGAACUGCGAGUGUAGAGGUGAAUUCGUAGAUAUUCGCAAGAACACCAGUGGCGAAGGCGGCUCACUGGCCCGAUACUGACGCUGAGGUGCGAAAGCGUGGGAGCAACAGG